GUUCUCGUUAAAGUUUAUCUUUAAAGAAAUAUUUUGGAUGUUAAAUUAUAUCUUGCCAAUGUGUAAAAUUAAUAUGGUGCUUAAUACUGAUGUUGCACAGUGAAAUCUUACAACCUUUGAAUAACAGUACAUUGUACUUUAGUAGGGACCACUCGGGUCGCGUGGUCUUAAAGCAGGGAAUUUGUGGGGGCACGUAACCUCCAUCCACACACCGGCUGCCCGGAUACAGGGCUAUAUUUAGAUUGACCUAUGUUGUUGUUGACGCGUGACCUAUGCAAAUGUAGCACUUGUUAACUCAAUGUCCAUUCACUCUUGAAACAAGUAGGUCCAUAGUUUUAGAGGGUUUCUUCUACAUUUUCUUAUUAUAAUUGUAUAAGAAUGACAAUAAUGUCUAGGUGGAAGUUCCUUUGAGUAUAUUAUGUCAUUUACGGGUGUAAGUAAUCCGUAACAGCAUUUUGUUGAGGGUGCAAUAAUAUUUUAGAGACACUUGGUGAUGUGUCCGCAUCGUGCGGGAGCGCGCGAAACAGGCACUGCUUGUCUUCCAACUUUUGGACGGCAGUCACUUAUUUUGUAGCCGGGAUUUUCUCGGUGAGAAUUCACCUUUCCUUUGCUGUUUGCCAGCAUAAUCAUGUGCUGAGUGGGAAGGUGGGCGCCUCUGGAACCUGUGGAAGCACAAUUCCUGAAGAAGAAAUCCAGUUUGCAGAAGAGAAGUUUCACGAAUCUCAGGAGCUUGCUGAGAACGGGAUGAGGAACCUCCUUGAGAGUGAUGUUGAGCAGGUGUUACAGCUUCAAGCGUUAGCCGAGGCACAGCUAGAAUACCACAAACAGUCUGCGGAGGUCUUGGAAAGCCUUCUGUCAA